UACCAGCACCCCGAGUGGUCGGGACGAUUAUUGGGCCUAAAGCAUCCGUAGCCGGCCUUACAAGUCCUCCGUUAAAUCCAGCUGUUUAACAGAUGGGCUGCGGAGGAUACUAUAAGACUAGGAGGCAGGAGAGGCAAGCGGUACUCAGUGGGUAGGGGUAAAAUCCGUUGAUCCAUUGAAGACCACCAGUGGCGAAGGCGGCUUGCCAGAAUGCGCUCGACGGUGAGGGAUGAAAGCUGGGGGAGCAGACCGG
rnacentral:rRNA from 1 species